GUGCUCCCUUGGACAGCACACACAGUAAAGUUGGAGCUACAUGGAAGGAAAGGUUAGCAUGGCCCCCAUGCAAGGAUGGCAUGCACAUCCGCAUGCGAUUCACAUUUUA
rnacentral:snRNA from 1 species